AGCAUUUAGAAUGUCAAGGCUGCCUUUUUAUUUGUGGACGCUUUGAAUUAGCUGCGUUAACUCUGUGGACAAUGGAUAUUGCUAAUAUGUCUGUUAUGAUAGCCCCAAGUCCUCAAAUGGCCCCUUUAGAAACACAGGAUAAUGUUCAUGUGAGCUGACCUGACCAAAGAUUUCUUACAUUUUAUACUUCAUGCUCGUUUAUGGAGGCAACCAAACUUCUUUUUUCUUCUCUUUCUGCUGCAUUGACCAAGAGCUCAGCGAGGGAUAGCGUUUAGCUGAGUUGUCUAUACACAAUGACAAACAUCAAAGCAAUUCCAAGCGUCGCUGCAGCUUUCAUUGGAAUAUUUGCAGUGAAUUUGUGCUAUGUGGGUCCACAUAUGUGCGCAUCAGCGCAUUUCACCAGCGUGGAUGUUCCAGGAUCUGAGGUCGAGCACUACCCGCCAGUACUAUGGGACGAUGUAGACCCUUAUGUUUAAAAUAAAAAAAAAGCUAACAUAAAGAAUGAUUUGCAUGUAUGCUGCGUUACACACAAUUUGAUGAUCACACAUUGUAAACAUAAAACAGUGUUAAAGGGAUUUUGAAACACUUUUUCAAGUAACCGUGUUGCAUAUCAUGUCGAAUAUGAAGGUAUGAUACCCUUAAUACGAGCCCACACUCUCUUGUAGAACCUAUUGUGAAUAAAAGGCUAUGAACAAGUUGA